CAUGCAAGUCGAACGAGAUCUUCGGAUCUAGUGGCGCACGGGUGAGUAACGCGUGGGAACCUACCAUUCUGUACGGAAUAACGCUUGGAAACGAGCGCUAAUACCGUAUACGCCCUGUGGGGGAAAGGUCCGCCGCAGAAUGAGGGGCCCGCGUCCGAUUAGUUUGUUGGUAAGGUAACGGCUUACCAAGACUACGAUCGGUAGCUGGUCUGAGAGGAUGAUCAGCCACACUGGGACUGAGACACGGCCCAGACUCCCACGGGAGGCAGCAGUGGGGAAUAUUGGACAAUGGGGGCAACCCUGAUCCAGCAAUGCCGCGUGUGUGAUGAAGGCCCUAGGGUUGUAAAGCACUUUCAAUGGUGAAGAUGAUGACGGUAGCCGUAGAAGAAGCCCCGGCUAACUUCGUGCCAGCAGCCGCGGUAAUACGAAGGGGGCGAGCGUUGUUUGGAAUUACUGGGCGUAAAGGGCGUGUAGGCGGCUUAGCAAGUUAGAGGUGAAAUCCCAGGGCUCAACCCUGGAACUGCCUUUGAUACUGCUAAGCUUGAGAUCGUGAGGGGAUAGCGGAAUACCCAGUGUAGAGGUGAAAUUCGUAGAUAUUGG
rnacentral:rRNA from 1 species